AUCGCUGCAGCUCCUGGCAGUGGGCGUGGUCCCCUGUGAGGCUCCGGGGCUUCCAACACCUGAAAAUAUAAUUAUAAAAGUAAUGUAUUCAUACUUUCAAAAUUCUGGAAAUUACAGAAAAGUAUAAAGGAGGUAUUAAGAAUUAAUAAUUCUACCAACCAGGCAACAAGGUCUUUUGAAGACGUACCAAAAAAAUCAAUUACCACUAGACUCCAACUACAAGAAAUAUUCAAGAAAGCUUUUUAAGCUGAAGAAAAAUAAUACUAAAUAGAAACAUGGAGCUACACAAAG